rnacentral:rRNA from 1 species
UGACCUCAAUCAGGUAGGACUACCCGCUGA